CAGCCGCCACGGUAAUACGGAGGGUGCAAGCGUUAUCCGGAUUUAUUGGGUUUAAAGGGUCCGUAGGCGGAUCUGUAAGUCAGUGGUGAAAUCUCACAGCUUAACUGUGAAACUGCCAUUGAUACUGCAGGUCUUGAGUAAAUUUGAAGUGGCUGGAAUAAGUAGUGUAGCGGUGAAAUGCAUAGAUAUUACUUAGAACACCAAUUGCGAAGGCAGGUCACUAAGAUUUAACUGACGCUGAUGGACGAAAGCGUGGGGAGCGAACAGGAUUAGAGACCCCAGUAGUCCCUGUCUCUUAUAC
rnacentral:rRNA from 1 species